GAUGAACGCUGGCGGCGUGCCUAAUACAUGCAAGUCGAACGCUGGAAAUCUAGCUUGCUAGAUUGAAGGAGUGGCGAACGGGUGAGUAAUACAUAAGCAACCUACCCACGAAGACUGGGAUAAUCUCUGGAAACGGGGACUAAUACCGGAUAGGUAAUCGGAAGGCAUCUUCUGAUUAUUAAAGGUUAAAAACACUGGUGGAUGGGCUUAUGGCGCAUUAGUUAGUUGGUGAGGUAACGGCCCACCAAGACGAUGAUGCGUAGCCGGCCUGAGAGGGUGAACGGCCACAUUGGGACUGAGACACGGCCCAGACUCCUACGGGAGGCAGCAGUAGGGAAUUUUCGGCAAUGGGGGAAACCCUGACCGAGCAACGCCGCGUGAGUGAUGACGGCCUUCGGGUUGUAAAGCUCUGUUGUAAGGGAAGAACGGUAGAUAGAGAAUAUCUAAAUGACGGUACCUUACCAGAAAGCCACGGCUAACUUCGUG
rnacentral:rRNA from 1 species